rnacentral:misc_RNA from 1 species
UUAUUUAUUUAUUUAUUUUUGAUAAAUCUGAUUUUCCAUCUCCAUUCAUAUCAACAUGCACACUUAGCCUACCCCAGGUAUCUUUUUAGUUUCUGCAGGACUAUGCACUUGAUAUGUUGCCUAGUGCCCCACAUGCAUCUCAACACGCUUGUCAUACCGCCAUGUAUUCUUAACAACCACAUAUAUUGAAAUGCCUAGUAAGUCUUACUUUGAUAAAGAGAGAAAAAUUUUCAUAUUCCACUUGAGUACUGUUGAAAUGCCAUAUAUUUAAGCCUUUUCUGCUUUUCCUGCAUGUGAAUGAAUUGGCAUGAAUAGCCUGUCUCUAUCCUCAGGAAGCCUCUCUUUCUUCAUGGUCAGAACACGUGGGAACCUUGUAGGAAUUAUGAUCAGCUUAAGGUUGCCUUUGACAUCCAGCUAAAAUAAAUAAAUUCAGCUCUCUAUUUGUGAGAAAUUUUGAACAUGCUGUAACCAAAUCCAAUUUUUCUAGUGCUGCAAUUUGCUUUUGGAAUUUUGGAGAUGUUUGAAGUCAACUACCAUUAAUUUUAUAUCCAUUCCUCGAGUAGAAGCACUAAAAAUACUUAUCCUGGGAUGUAAAGUUGCAUGUCAGACUAGAUAAAUAUUUGUUAUAAUCAGGUGCUUAAAGAGCCGAUAAUGGUAUCUAAAGCUUCUAAUCAUGAUGCCUUUGCUUAUUUUUGUGAAGCCUGAACGAGUAAAUCGUUAAAUGUGUCCAAAGUUUGAGGGUAACAGUAAAAUUCUGAAUAAAACAAAAAUAUCUUUAAAAUCAAGCGUAUGGUUGGCUUAGCAAUUUGUAAAGAGGAUAAAUUAGAUAAAGGUGCUGUUGUGCUAUGUUAAAUUUUUGAAUAAAUGUGCUGUUUUACCUUUCUAAAAUAGGGAUUUUUAUGAAAUUGCAGGGCAGAAUUGUUGUCUUAACA